UUUAAAAGGUAUUUCGUAUUGCACCGACCAUUUUGAAAAUCAUUAUAAAAUUUUAUAUCGCUGGUACCUGGCUCCGUUUAGAUUGCACAACAUGAACAAUAUGUAUUCUGACCGGUGUUGGAGAGACUGUGGGGGUGUGGGCAAUAUGGCCCAUAUCUGGUGGUUCUGCCCCAAAUUAACUAAUUAUUGGAAAAUGAUUCAUGAUCUAAUUAUUAAAGUGAACAGAACCAUUAGCAUUUUAACUUCGGAACUAGCCUUAUUUAAAAAACUCCCGGAGUCCGUUAAUAGAUCAGACAAAAUAAUCAUAGACCACAUUCUGAUCGCUGCUACAUCCUGUUUACCUAGACAUUGAAAGUCCCAAAAUGUGC